rnacentral:rRNA from 1 species
CCAACUACGGGCCAGGAUGCGGGGUAAGACGUAGGGGGCUAGGGUGGGCCGGAUUCAUGGGGCGGAAAGUGCUCGUAGGCGGCUUACUAAGUCGAGUGUGAAACCGCCAGGCUCAACCUGGAGCCUGCACUUGAUACUGGUAUGGGUUGAGUCCGGUAGGGGACCACGGAAUUCCUGGUGUAGCGGUGAAAUGCGCAGAUAUCAGGAGGAACACCGGUGGCGAAGGCGGUGGUCUGGGCCGGCACUGACGCUGAGGAGCGAAAGCGUGGGGAGCGAACAGGAUUAGAUACCCGUGUAGUC